UUUUGAAGGAAAAAUUAAAUGCUUUUCGAGUUACAGACGAUCUCCGACGGCGCUCAAACAAACAAGGUUCUCUACUGCUGGCUUUCGUGCUUGUUGAAACCUAACAAAAUGGCGACGUUUGAAAAAUGCUGAAUUUUACCCAAAAUAUUGCUCGUUUUUGGAAGGCCAAAAUUCGAUUUUUUUCUGGAUAAAAAAACUGGCGGGUCAUUGUUUAGAAAACUAUAUACCUACAUGGCACAAGCAGAAAUCAAAGACUGAUAGUGAUCGGGAUCAUUAUUUGUCGCCGAAUAACCACUCAAGAAAAUUUGAAAAAUGCUGUUUCGACAAAAACGAGUUUAAGCAGAUAUUCUAGUAUAGAGGCAUGAAUUUCAGUUAUUUAUUGACAUUACAGAAAAGCCAGUUUCGAGAAAAAGGUCUUUCAGUUCCGCCCGAACCAGUUUGAACAGCGCCUGGUCAACAAAGUAACACAAGAAAAUUUUUUGAAAUACCGGUUUGAAAGAAUAUUCCCUUAAGGAUAGAUUGCUGGAGCUGAGAUAUCGAUUUGAAAUUUUAGUAUCUUAUUUUUAAAGUUAUAAUCUUCAUUGCAACUAUUCAUAACAACAGCAAUAAUAUAAGUAUGUACAUACUUUAAGAACAUUUUCAUUACGCAUAUAAGGGUAUUUCAAAAAUGAUUUAAAAAUUCAAUAUUUUUG